rnacentral:rRNA from 1 species
GAGUUUGAUCCUGGCUCAGGAUGAACGCUGGCGGCGCGCCUAACACAUGCAAGUCGAACGGCACCUAUCUUCGGAUAGAAGCGAGUGGCGAACGGCUGAGUAACACGUGGAGAACCUGCCCCCUCCCCCGGGAUAGCCGCCCGAAAGGACGGGUAAUACCGGAUACCCCGGGGUGCCGCAUGGCACCCCGGCUAAAGCCCCGACGGGAGGGGAUGGCUCCGCGGCCCAUCAGGUAGACGGCGGGGUGACGGCCCACCGUGCCGACAACGGGUAGCCGGGUUGAGAGACCGACCGGCCAGAUUGGGACUGAGACACGGCCCAGACUCCUACGGGAGGCAGCAGUGGGGAAUCUUGCGCAAUGGGGGGAACCCUGACGCAGCGACGCCGCGUGCGGGACGGAGGCCUUCGGGUCGUAAACCGCUUUCAGCAGGGAAGAGUCAAGACUGUACCUGCAGAAGAAGCCCCGGCUAACUACGUGCCAGCCGCCGCGGUAAUAC